rnacentral:misc_RNA from 1 species
UCCCCGUUCUCCUGGGUAAGGUUCUUCGCGUUGCGUCGAAUUAAACCACAUGCUCCACCGCUUGUGCGGGCCCCCGUCAAUUCCUUUGAGUUUCAACCUUGCGGUCGUACUCCCCAGGCGGGGUACUUCCUGCGUUAGCGCCGGCACCCAGAGGGUCGCUCCCCCAGGCACCUAGUACCCAUCGUUUACGGCGUGGACUAC